UUUAGUCGCGAGCUCUUCACGCUGCAAGUUGACUUUGUACUAUGGCUUGUUGGCAGCCAGGUUGAGUUGCUUUUAUAACACACUUGAGCACGCACACACACACAUGUGCAGACAUGCACAUGGCAGCGACGCCGGCGCAGCAAGCUCUUCAUUUUGGGCACUCGGAUCUGGCUUUUUGGUUAUGGGACAAGUUGUUUAACUUUUUGUUGUUGCCGCUGUCGCUGCUGAUGCUGUCGCUUAUGCAUUUGAGUUGCGAUCUUGGGGCUUUCUGUAUUUCAAAUUUUGUGCAUUUUGCAAUCGCCGACAGUGGCUGCAAUUUGUCGAAGUACAGAGAUGAGCCCUAGCAGCAGCAGCAGCAGCAGUAGCAGCAGCAGCAGCAGC